UGGAGUCUCUCGCUCUGUCACCUAGGCUGGAGUGAAUUGGCACGAUCUAGGCUUACGGCAACCUCCGCCUCCAGGGUUCAAGCGAUUCUCCUGCCUCAGCCUCCUGAGUAGCUGGGACUACAGGCGUGUGCCACCCCGCCCAGCUAAUUUUUAUAUUUUUAGUAGAGGUGGAGUUUCACCAUGCUAGCCAGGCUGGUCUUGAACUCCUGACUUCAGGUGAUCUGCCCGCCUUGGCCUCCCAAAGUGUUGAGACUACAGGCAUGAGCCACCGCGCCUGGCCACUGAUGCUUAUUUUUUAAGGCGGUAAUAGUACAUGAGGAAGUGAAAAUAUGAGGAAGUACAAAUCUCAUGUUCAUUCCCUGCCUCUGUUACUGACAUGCUGUCCAUUUUCUAAUUCUAAUCCCUGCCUGCCUCUCCGCCCUCACGUUUUGGGGGAUGGACACAGUUGCAGGGGAAAUGGAAGACAUUACUGAUCGUGGACAUCGAGGGUGGAGAGAGAAACUUGGGCAUCAAACUAGCCCUGAGAACUGUACCAAUGAGGUUGAAAACAUUUGUAAACCAUUGCCUAGUAAAAGCAGUCACUGAGAUCAGCGUUUUGGAUGAUUAAUAUCUCUUAAAAACAUUUUAUAAUUCCCUCAACAAAGCUCUUGCAAACUGUGGUAGAGGCUGUUAGUGCUCUCCAAUAUCCAUGUUUUCUGCCCACUCCUUGGAAUCCAGCUAGAUUGGUCAAUAGUGGCCUAGCUAUAGUGGUCAACGUCCCCUAUGAUUGGGUGCAACCAUGAGACUGAGUUCUGGCCAAUGGAUUGUGGCAGGAGUGAUGUGUUCCAGAUUUUGCCUCAUGAAACUUCCUCAUGCUUGACUUGUGCUCUCUCUUUUCCUAUCUACCCGCUGAAUGGAGAUAACUUUGAGUACCUAGAGAAGGAUGGAGCUACAAGAUGGAAUGAGCCUGGGACCCUGAAUGGCCACGUGUAGCAGAGCCUCUCUGCUGACCUGGAACAUUAACCUCAGACUCUUUUGAAACAAGAUCUUGCCAUGUUGCCUAAGCUGGUCUUCAACUCCUGGCCUCAAGCUAUCCUUCUGCCUUGGCCUCCCAAAGCACUGGCAUUACAGGCAGGAGCCACCUCAUCCGUCCGUCCUCUUUUGUCACUUUAAGGCAGUGUAUUCCUGUCUUUUUCUUUUGGAUUUGCAGGAGUACUUUGUAUAUGCUAG
rnacentral:lncRNA from 10 species